rnacentral:lncRNA from 1 species
AACAAACUGGAGUUCCUUCUCCCUCCCAUUUCUUAAAUUUGGGCUAUUAUUGUUUUCUUUUCAACCAAGCUCUUGUGCUAUUCUUUUGACCAAGGUAAUUAUUUCUUUUUUCAUUUGUCUGCAAAAACAUUGUCAAAGUCUUCAUUAUUUCAGCAAAGCUGUUUGGAAACGAUUUCAGUGUGCCAAAAAACAACAACAACAACAAAAAAAACCAAAACAAACAAACAAAAAACCCCAACAAAUACACAACAAAGAAAACCACAGUAGCCAUCUUUUCAAAGAGAAUGAUUUUUACCAGGAUUGGUGUGGUUAUACAGAUGAGCAGUGUGGCUUGUUCCAGCUGAAGGAUGACCAAGGAGCACACCACAAGUUCAACUGGAAUAACCCACCUGAAGAACACUAUCAUGC